rnacentral:rRNA from 1 species
AUGAAAGUUAUCUAUAACAAAUAUGCUCUUGAGAAAGAUUUUAGUGUGAGGAGAAUCUAUGUUGAGUGGGAUGGAUCCAACAAUCAUAUAAUUUUAAGAAAAAUUGUGUGCAAUCGUGAAGGGGUUCGUGAAGAGAAGCACAUGAAGAGGAAGAUGGAAGAUAGAAAGAGGAGGCCACGCAGUAUAACAUAUGUUGGGUGUCAAGCUAAAUUGGUCAUUGCAAGACAGGAGGAAACAGGUCGGUGGUUUGUCAAGGAUUUCAUCGAUGAACACAACCAUCCUCUAGUCCCUCGGGAUAUUUCGUGUCUUUUGUGUUCACACAGAUGAAUUAGCGAUGAGCAAAAAGCGGACAUUGCAAACAUGGAAAAAUCCGGGAUCUGCAAAUACCAUAUUAUGGAUAUCUUGCGCAUGCAAUAUGAUGGAUAUGAUCAGGUUGGAUGCACGAGGAGGGACAUUUACAAUUUCUUCCAUGCUAGUAAGCAGGAAUCAAUCACUACCGGUGGUGCUCAAACGGUGAUCAGUCACAUGAUGGCGCAGCGAGAGCGAGAUCCGUUUUUUUUCUUCAAGCACUUGGUUGAUGAACUUCGCCUUCUGAAGGGGUUGUUUUGGUCUAAUAGUCAAUCCUGACUUGACUACGAGGCUUCCGGAAACAUUAUUGUUUUUGAUAGCACAUACAGAACCAAUAAGUACAAUCUGCCAUUUGUAUCGUUUCUCGGGUUGAAUCAUCACCACAUCACUAUUAUUUUUUGAAGUGGUAUCAUUUAUCAUGAAACAAGCAAGGCAUAUGAGUGGAUGGUGUGGACCUUUUUUGAUGCCAUGGCACAAAAAAAUCAGAUAUCUAUGAUCACGGACGGGGACCUUGCAAUGCAGAGAGCAAUCAGGGUGGUCUGGCCUGACUCGAACCAUAGGUUGUAUAUACGGCACAUUCAGUAGAACACUAUACUUCAUCUAAAUGAUGAUGCGGUAAAGGCAAUCCACUCUUUCAUAUAUGAUUCAUCUUCCAUUGAUGAGCAUGAGAGAAAAUUGAUACAAUUCUUACAGCGGAAUAAAGUAACCAGUGAGGAGUCCUGCCUGCAUCAGAUGUAUCAGAUGAGAAAGUUGCGGUGUGCUCCAUAUCCCGAGGGGCGUUGUUUCCUAGGAUUGAGCAGUAAUUAGUGGAGUGAGAGCUUGAACCCUAUGCUACAUGUUGACGGCAAACAUGUAGUCUGA